ACACAUGCAAGUCGAACGGCAGCACGGGAGCAAUCCUGGUGGCGAGUGGCGAACGGGUGAGUAAUACAUCGGAACGAGCCCAAUCGUGGGGGAUAACGCAGCGAAAGCUGUGCUAAUACCGCAUGAGAUCUACGGAUGAAAGCAGGGGACCGCAAGGCCCUUGCGCGAAUGGAGCGGCCGAUGGCAGAUUAGGUAGUUGGUGAGGUAAAGGCUCACCAAGCCUGCGAUCUGUAGCUGGUCUGAGAGGACGACCAGCCACACUGGGACUGAGACACGGCCCAGACUCCUACGGGAGGCAGCAGUGGGGAAUUUUGGACAAUGGGCGCAAGCCUGAUCCAGCCAUGCCGCGUGCAGGAUGAAGGCCUUCGGGUUUUAAACUGCUUUUGUACGGAACGAAAAGGCUUUCUCUAAUAAAGAGGGCUCAUGACGGUACCGUAAGAAUAAGCACCGGCUAACUACGUGCCAGCAGCCGCGGUAAUACGUAGGGUGCAAGCGUUAAUCGGAAUUACUGGGCGUAAAGCGUGCGCAGGCGGUGAUGUAAGACAGUUGUGAAAUCCCCGGGCUCAACCUGGGAACUGCAUCUGUGACUGCAUCGCUGGAGUGCGGCAGAGGGGGAUGGAAUUCCGCGUGUAGCAGUGAAAUGCGUAGAUAUGCGGAGGAACACCGAUGGCGAAGGCAAUCCCCUGGGCCUGCACUGACGCUCAUGCACGAAAGCGCGGGGAGCAAACAGGAUUAGAUACCCUGGUAGUCCACGCCCUAAACGAUGUCAACUGGUUGUUGGGUCUUCACUGACUCAGUAACGAAGCUAACGCGUGAAGUUGACCGCCUGGGGAGUACGGCCGCAAGGUUGAA
rnacentral:rRNA from 1 species